AGUCAUAGGAUUGAUAGAUUAUAUAAUAAUUAUACUUCAUAUACUGUGUAUAUCAUAUACUGUGUAAAUUUUUUAAAAAGAUUAUUCAUGAAUUAGAUGAAAGACAUUGUUUUCUCAUCAUAUUGGCUAUGUGAUAUAACUUUUCUGUAGUACUAUGGACAAAUAUAUAUGACUCCAAAUAGGAAAUACAGAACAGACUAAAGUAUAAAUAAUACUAAAGUUCAACUUUGUGACCCAAUGAAUUUGAUUGGAUUUAUUUCGUAAAGUAGAAAUGAGGGGUUACUAACAGGGGUAGAAAAUGAUUCAAAUACAGAUGACUCACCAAAGCCCACUCCAGACAUCUCAACAAAACUAGAAACCUGGGACACACUGCAUGGCCUGCAAGCAGCUCAUUAGUUCACGUAUCCCUUCUAGGUGGCUCAGUUGGUCUGAGUCUCUCUCCUAUACCUCAGCUAGUCUCUUUCUUCUAAAUACUUCAGCUGGUCUCUGCCUAUUCCCAGUGCCUAGAUUUGUCUGAGAGUUUUUUUUUUUUUGCAGCUUGGCUUUAAUUAGAAUAGUUCUCAGCCAUUUUUUACUGUUUAUAUCCUAUUGGGAAGAGAGGAUCCUAGUAAGUCUGUUCGUUUUCAGGGACUUCCUGAAGCUAUUUUCAGUUGUUCACUUCCUGACUUUAUCAACUUCUCUGCAAUAUUUCACUUCCCCUUACAACAGCCUAUUAUUUUAACCUCUUUGUAACAUCUAGUCUUAAGGAGUUUCUCUCCCAAAUGGAAGAUUUUUAAUCCUGUAGGAAAUGGCUAUGCAACAGUAUUACACUCACACCAACUACUGGGGUAAGGCCUGGCUGGACAAACAAAGGUUCUAUAAGGCAGCAGGAGGCCAAAGGUGAAAACAUUUGACAAGACUGUGUUUUCAGAAUGCUGUGUUCAUUCAUCCUAUUAUUAUACACGGCAUAGGUAACCAAACCACAGCAGUGCAAUCGUGACUUUAUUUCUUUGUUUUACUUUCUCAGAAACAAGACAAAUUGGUUCACUUCCCAUCAUUUUAUGUCUGCACAAUAUGAUCAAUCAUCAUGAUGAAUUAUUUCCUAGAUGGUUCUCUAUUGCUUAUUACCGUUGAAAUGAUGUGAAUAAGGUGCUAUAGGACAUUUUCUGAGAAGUCUGUUCUCUAAGCUCUCGAUUGUCAUCUCCACUAGCUCCAUUCCCAGCUAACAAACAGCAAGAGCUUUACUUUCUGCAGAAAUAAAUUUGUUGUAGUCAGGGUUCUCUAGGGCAAUGUUUCUGAACCUGUGCAUUGUGACCCCCAACAGGAGUCAAAUGCCACAUAUAUACAUUACUAUUCAUAGCAGGAAAGAAUCACAGUUAUAAAGUAACAACAAAAUAAUUUUAUGGUUGAGAGUCACCACAACAAAACAACUGGAUUAAAUUGUCACAACUUCAGAAAGGCUGAUAACCAUUGCUCUGGAGAAUGGCAUGAAUAGGUAUGUGUGGGUCAUGGGAUUAAUGAGAGUGUUUACAUGUUAUGGGCUGGGAGCACAACAGUAGCUGUCUACACAGUGGACAGGCUGAGAAAACAAUAGCGGUUGAGUCUGUGAAGCACUAUGCCUUAAUAACAUCAGUCUAUGGGAGAAAGCUUAGAGGAGUCCAGGAGAGGUAUUGAUUGUCAUUUUACUCUGGAAGAGCGAGGAAGCUGGGCUGCAAUUUCACGGGAAGAUGGCAACCACAACAGGUUGCAGAAUUGAUGCAUUCGCCAGCAAGAAGUAAAUGCUGUUAGGCAAAAUCACACUGCUCUUUACUCAGUGUAGUGAGUCGGUUUGCUGCUGCUAUGUAUUUAAAUGCUAAAGAGUGCAACCCAAGACCUGGUUGCUCUAAGAGGAGAAGAACCUUACACCAUGUACCAGAGACCUCAAGAGAAGGAGAGAAGAGAAAAGUUGUCAUGGGGGUAGAUGGAUAAAGCCCACACAGCCAUGAAGGCCUGACUGUUGGAGUAGGAGGGCCGCCCAUGUGGAACAGGCUCAUUGACAGGGAAGUAAUCAAUGGUAUAGAGGGUUGAUCUCUGCCCAGCUCUAGUGCAUUAAGGCUUAUUAUAAAUAUGUUUUAUAACUUUUAUUUGAGAACUAUAUGGUCUAAAUGGAAUAAAAAAUAAUAUAUUUUAUAACAGCUCAGAUUAUUUAUAUGUGGACUACAUUCAGAAGGUUCUGUCCACUCUGGAGAGAAUCUUCUUCAUUGAUUUGAACCUGGAAAUCUUCUUACUGACCGAUCAAGACAUAUGUCUUAGUUUGUUCUAGAUCCAAUCUAAUUAACAGCAAAGAUUAACCAUUGUGGCUACCAAAUCUCUCUAGCUAUCUUUGUUGAAUAUCCAAUAUUCUCAGUGUAUAUAUUGAGAAUUCAGUUAUACCAAACAAUGGUCAGUCCAUUCCUCAGGAAAACACUGAAGAGAGCUAGACAUUUUACUUCUAACACAAUUUAAAAUGUAGACAAUAACUCUCCAUAAGUGUUUCAGAUGCUAAUAACGUUUGGUUUAUCUAUUUUAUACAUGAAAAUGAUCAGGACUUUUCCCAAGGCUACUGAUUCAGAACCAUAGGGGAGUCACUUUUUUUUUUAAACAUAUUAAGAUGUUUCUGAGAACUUACAUUUGAAAGCCAUCCCCACCCACCCACAGAAACAUGGCUUUAAUGCAAUCUAGAAAAGAAAAAAAACUGAAUUAAAGCUCAGGGUUUAUAAACAAGAGAUGUGUUUAUGCGUCACUUAUUAUUUUAACACCUAUGCAUAAUAUUCAGAAUCAUUUCAAAACACCAGGCUAUUUAUAAGAUUGUGGGGGAGAGCUGUAAUCACAGCACUGGCUAAAUAAGGGUUUAACCAUCUAAUGAGAGAGACAGAAAUUAAGACAAAUGAUACCCAAAAGUAAAUGAAGGGGAAGAGAGGAAGGAAUUUUGCCAAGUGUGCGAUGAAUGUAGGAGUUACGCUUGGGGUUUCAAAGUAUAGCAUUACAAGUCAGAUGGGUGUCACCUUGGCUUUGUGUUGCAGCAACUGCAGACAGGAGCAGCAAUGGCUCACUGAGGACAGCACAGCUGAUACCUUCCCUCCUGACUGAAAGUCUGUGCUAUUACAAUGGCCUUCCAGAGUUUCCAAGAGAACUGACCUAGGGGUGGGACUAUUAACCCCUUUCCCAUAGACUACAUUGACUAGGGAAGUCUGCUCUGCAUACAAAUGCCCUUCCUCUGGUUCCUCUUAGGAUAAUACUUUUCUUGUCUAAAUGGUGGUGGGUGACCUGGUGGAAGAGACUGGGAAGCAGUGAAACCCAUGAGAGCAAAUAGGAAGUGUGGAAGGAUUUUUAGAAAAAUCAGAUUCAGAAACAAAUAACAACAACAAAGCAACAUCAAGCCAAACAAACAGAAAACAUGGAUUCUUUCUUUGCUAAGUAACACAUCUGGCUGUAUGUGUGUGCCUUGCAUGCAGAUUCACAGGACUAACUCUUGGAUUAAUGGACUGCUGUCAUGUUUGAAAUUUCUUCAUGCUUCUGAACCAGUUUAUUUAUAGGAUAGAUUAUUCUGACGAAUAUUCAUAAAUUGAACCAUUCCUGUACUCCUUGGGAAGAAGCAAGUUGAAGUGGAUAAAGGACCUCAACAUAAAGCUGGAUACACUAAAUCUCAAAGAAGAGUAAAUGGGAAAUAGCCUUGAAGUCAUUGAUAUGGGAGAUAAUUUUCUGAACAGAAUACAAAUGACUCAGGCUGUACGAUCAAUACUUACACAACUAUGGCCUUAGCAGCUUUGUGUGUAAUAGCCAGAACCUGGAAAACAAUAUAGGUACCUCUCAACUGAAGAAUGGAUACAGGAACAUGGUACAUCUACACAAUGGAAUACUCUUCAGCUAUUAAAAAUCAAGAUACCAUGAAAUUUGCAUGCAAAUGAAUGGAACAUGAGGAUCUCAUCCUGAGUGAGCCUAAAGAUGUCACCUGUCCAAUGUGGGCUCUUCUAUACAUGAGCAUCGAGGAAGACACCAAGGAGCCUGUCUUCCCCCUCCACGACUCUCAGCAUAUUCUGAAUAACCUAGAUACCUUGGCAAAGGAUGGUAAUACAGCCAGGAUGCAAUAGUUGAUAUAUGAACUUCUGUUGAAUGUAACUCAUACCUUUUGGAUACAUGGCACAUGGGACAGUCAUAUCUCCUCAUCCAGAAUUCCAUAUUAUUGUCCUAAAGUGAUCAGGUAAACACUUAAUUUUUGUUAGGCAUAUUGAUCUAGAACUGCUUAGAAUUUUUUUAAGUUCUUUUUGUGAAAGUAGAGAUUAAUUUUAAUAAAUAUGUAAAAAAUCAUCUGAGAUUUAUAGCAAAUAAGAUCCCUAAUUCUUACAUGUCUUGAAAAAAAUUUUAUUGGAUAUUUUAUUUAUUUACAUUUCAAAUGUUAUCCUCUUUCCUGGUUUCCCUUUCUUAAACCCCCUAUUCCUUCCCCCCUCUCCCUGAUUCUAUUAGGGUGCUCCCCCAUCCAUCCACCCACUUCCACCUCACCACCCUGCCAUGUACCUACACUGGGGCAUCAUCCAACAUUUGGAGGACCAAGGGCACCGCUUAAAAUGGCAGCAGCAUGCCUUGCUUAGUAAAGGAGGAGCUCCUGGCACUCUUCUCUGAUUUUAUAUCCUGGUUUCCAUUAUAAAUUGAUCGUAUUUGGAGAGAUUUCUGUUAAAUAUACAGACAGCAAUGCUUGCUUGAAGCAGAGCCAGAAAGCAUAUUAAUGUCUAGACCAGGCUACCUUUUUGAGUUUCGCUUGGAUCCUAUUAAAAGCUGGAUUGUUAAAGGUUUAGGAGUCGGGCAGAAUUACAGAAUGUAUGGUUAGGAGAAAUAUUACGAAAAGAUUGUGUUUGCGAAGAGCUUGAAAGCAAGGUAAGGUGUUCUGAACUAAAUCGGAUCAAACCAUGACAAAUAGGACUUUUUUCAUAAUUUUGUAUGUGAGCGAAAGACAUAAGUCAUGAGAGUGAAAAUGAGACAUAACUUAAAGUUGAAUGGGCAGGUGGCCUGAUGAUCCAGGGGGAGAGAGUAGUAAUUUUCAUUUUCUUUGCCUUUCUGCUGAUGCUCUCAUGAGUUCUCUCACACUUGAAAAGUACCAAUAAAAUAAAAUGAACACCUAAAAUUACUUUUAGCUACUGUAACGUAUGGAAACAAGUACAAUAGGGUGCUACCAUAUACUAGUUGAUUCUUUCCAUAAACUGACCGGAUACGUGAGUUGCAGUCUCUGCCUGACACCAGCGAUGCCUGGCUGUUCUCAGUAACAUCAUAAGCAGACAUAGAUGAAUAUAUUUGUAAUUUUCCCUGCUCUUUUCCUAUUUAAACCGAAACAAUAGCGAUAGCAGUCAGAGCCUAAAAUCAAUCUAAUAGAUCUGUAAUUUAACAUGAUGAGACAUAUAAUACUAUUAUUGGAUUCAAUUUUUCUUUGGUGCAUAUAAAACACUUUAGGCUGUGUUUUGGGUGCUUUUCCUCUUUUGUAAGAAUCUCUUUUGAAAACAGUUGCUAGGUGUGGGUGUUUCACUGAGACUCGCAGGCCAUCUGCUAUAGCCAUCACUGAGAAGACCGCCUUUGAUAGAAAAACCCUAAGAACUUUGGUUUAACCCAAAUGGUCAAAUAUCUCUUUCAAAAUAAGAGCAGUGCUGUUUACUGGAGUGUUUUAGAAGAGUUUUCUGGGAAGAGGAGGAUCCAAGUGCAUUUAGCCAGAUGAUAAGAACAACUUAAAAACUAAUAUUUUCUAUUUUUUCAGAAAUCAUCAUGUAGUGUACACUUUCGUGUUUCUCCUCAAAUAUCCUAAAUGCAAAUUAAUGUUGGGAUGUGUUAUUUGAGAACAUGCAGCUGCCUAACAGAAAUAUUUUAGGAUUUCUUUACUGCUUUGAGAAGAUCUCUGUCUCUAGCUAUCAAAACACAUAUUAUUGUGCUGAACAACUUGUGUUUUAGCUUUCAGGGAAAAAAACAAGUUUAACUUGCCUGUGGUUCAUUAAGCAUGGCUAUGGCUGAAAACAUCUUAUGAUAGUUGUUAAUCAAUCAAAAAAAUCCAUCAGUAAAGAGAACUUAUUUCCCCUGAUUUUUCAUCUUCUCCCACUAGUAAACUCUUGAACGUGUUGUUUCCAUUAAAAUGUGGUCUACCAGGCAGAUGCCACAGCCAUAAGGAGAACUGAUUUGUCUCUCAGCAGUUAUCUGUUACCAACCGAUUCUUGUUGAUGGGUCAGAAUUCAUUCCAGUCUUACUUCUCCAUUGUUGGAUGUAUCUGGGUUAGUCUUGGGAAAGUCUUUCCAUGUUAUCACAACUUCCACAGGUGUGUACACGCAACUGUCUUGUGAUUUCAUCUAAAAAACCAAGUUUCUUCCUUGUCAUUCAUAAUUGCUGUCAUGUGAUUCGACCUUUGGUUUUCACUUAUUCCGCCUUACUCCUUUAAACUUCUGCAUUCUGUCAGAUCUCUCUUGAGAUGUCUUCCCUAUAAUGUCUGGUUCCUUGAUUCCACUGGAUGUUAGACAUGAAACACAGAAUUCUAACGAGUUAAAGCUACCAUCUACAAAAUGAAAGAAAACAUUUGACUUCUUCCCUCAGGAUAAUUGUUUGCAACUCCAUCUAUGUUCCUUUCAAUUUCAUAAUAUCUUUUUGCUCUAACAGUUGAAUAAUGUUCUCUUCUGUAAAUGAGUCACAUUUUUGUUAUCAUUGGUCAGUUAAUGGGCAUCUAUGUUGCUUGAUUUUGUAUUGGUUUGUUCUUUGAAAAGUUUAAAUCCUUUGAUUGCUGAUAUUUUAAUGCACCGUCUGCAUGUUAUCUUUGACAUUUCAUCUAUAUUUAUUAAAUCAUUAAUUUUUAUUUAAUAUAUUUAAAUAAAUUUAAUGGUAAAUUUAAUAAUAUUCAAAUAAGUUUUAUUUAAUAAACAAUUAAUAGCAUUUUAUUACAUUUAUUAUGCAAUUCAUUUGUUGACUUUUACUCUUAUUUUGUACAUUAUUCUUCCCUAUCUUAUUGAGGUUUAAUUUAAUUUGCCAUGAUGGAUUUCUGUUUAUUCCUUCAUAAUUUCCUGGUACCUAUGAAGUUUUUGCUUAAAUGAAAUGUAUUUGAAAUUAAACUACUAUUUUGUAUGACAUAGAAUUCUGUCUUGUGUGUGAAUGUGUGCAUACAUUAAAAGCACCAUCAGUUGAUCUGUUCUGCAGAUCUGAUUUUAUGAAAACAGCUCCCUAGGUCCCCUUCAGAGGGAUCCUGCUGACAGUUCUACUGCUGGUGACUUCCUGCACUAAUCUGUCCAACAGUAUUCCCUGACAGCAAGAGAAUGCUCAGCCCACAGGCAGAGCACCGGAGAAUGUAACAUGCUUCUGAUGUUUCUUAGAGGGUCUUAGCUCUAAGCAUGGUAAGGACUUGGCAGUUCCCAUAGGAAGGUCUUCUGUAUAUAGCAUCCUCUGUGAGCUCUCCUGUCUUCUCAGACUCACUUCCUCUCUGCUUGCCAGGGUGUUAGCCUCCUGUUGCUGACUCAGUGUGCUAUGUAACUAGAGGAAUCAGAGUGAACUGCCACUGCUCUCUAGAGCAAACCAUAAAUAGGCAAUUUUGUGAACCUACUGCUAAAUACAACUAUUACCAAAAAUCAACUUAUGCGAACUGCUGUAGUAUGAAUAUCCUCCAAGAGCUAUGCAUUAAAAACUUAAUCCCCACUGUGGUAGUGUUAAUGGAGGCCCUUUAGGGAGGUGACUAUCUCGUGAGGUUGGAGCUCUUCUACUACCUUAGAGCCUUUUCCAGCCUUCUGCCUUCCACCACAGGACAGAGCAAUUGCCUCCAUCACCAUGCAAGGACACGAGUGCCCUCACCAGACACGGAAAGCCAACACCUGACCUUGAACUUCCCAGCCUCUCAGACAAUGAGAAAUGAAUUCCUGUGGUUUAUAAAUUACCUAGUCUGUAAUGUUUUGUUAUGGAAGCACAAAUGGGCUGACAUAGCCUUACAAUUAUACUUCAAACAACAUUAAUAAAUAUUUAUCACAUUCUAAAAAAAGAAAACAUCCUAAUAUGUUUUUCCUACAUGUUUUAAAAUAUUUAAAAACUCUUCACUGAUUCUUUGUGAAUUUCACAUCAGCUCCAAUCUUACUCAACUCUCUGUUUCUCCAUAUCUUGCAUCUGCCCUUUGGAAUUGAACUCUUUUCCUACCCCCAAUGAAAACAAAACAGGAACAAAAAUCCAAACCAAAACAACAAAAAAUUCUCAUUGAGGAAGCUGCUGUGUGUCACACACUAUAUAUACCCUUUGCCCAAACAGCUUUACUUGUAAAUGUUUACUUCAGUGAGUCAUGGGUCUGCCUUGAGGCCUUUGGCCUCUGUGACACCUUCAAUAUUGCAGUCUCACCAGCACUCUCCUCAGAUAUUCUGUGGCUGUCCUCUGUGACAAAUGGAGAUCCUGCAGUUUUUCAUCUGCAGACCUGGCAUCUUCAUGCAUGCUAACAGUUUCUAGGUGGACUAGACGUUGGGGUGGGCCAACUCAGAGCUCUGGAUUGGGCCUGUGUGGAAUCCGAUUUGCUCGGCCCUCCUGCACUCUUGUGCCUUUGCCAUCAGGACCAGCUCUCCUGCUUUGCCCAGGAAGGGAGAAGCAAGUGUUUUCCUGUUCUGCUCUCCUGCCCUCAGGGCCAGCCCCACCAAGGCCAAGACCCGAAUGCAUAACGUGGCUUUUCAUUUUGGUUUUCAGCUAUAAGUUUGUUUCUGUCACACUACUUGUCUAAGCAUAGUUUGAAAAUAUUUAUUUUCACAGUAAGGUAAACUUGGAAUAUA